ACACGUCUACAUUAGAUACCCGCGUAGUCCCAGCCGUAAACUAUGCGCGUUAGGUGUAUCGGUGACCCACGAGUUACCGAGGUGCCGAAGGGAAACCGUGAAACGUGCCGCCUGGGAAGUACGGUCGCAAGGCUGAAACUAAGGAAUUGCCGGGGGAGCACCACAACCAGGUGGAGCCUGCGGUUUAAUUGGACUCAACGCCGGGAAGCUCACCGGAUAGGACAGCAGAAUGAUUGCCGGGCUGAAGACCCUGCAUGACUAGCUG
rnacentral:rRNA from 1 species